rnacentral:lncRNA from 1 species
AUGAAGAAUGUCGCUGCAGUGAAGACGACUACAUCAGAAUUUCAGAUUUUGCAACAUGAGAGUCUGAAAGACAGGCCAACACAGGCGGCUCUUUGGAAACAAGAGACCUGGUACUUCCAACAGCCAAAAAGCUGGCCAAACACCAGGAUGAGGGGAAAGACAUAUCAGGCAUUGUGAGAAGGUUUACAUAACUAUAAUGAUGAGUAAAUGUGAUGACACAGAAAAAUUGUGUCAGGGACAUUAAAAUGGAAGGAAACAAGCUAACAUUUCUUAGUACUUAAGGUGAGAUAAUUUUUAAAUCAUUUGUUAAAAUCACUAUAUUCUGUUCAUUUGAAUGUAACCAAAAAGUAGGGGAAAUAUAUAUAU